GGAGAAGGACUGUAGCUCAGUGGCAGAUCAUCUGCCUUGCAAGUGGAAGGUCUCAGGUUCAAAUUCUGACAUCUCCA